rnacentral:rRNA from 1 species
UUCGACAUGUCCGGAAUCCCGAAGAGAUUUGGAGUGCUCGCAAGAGAACCGGAACACAGGUGCUGCAUGGCUGUCGUCAGCUCGUGUCGUGAGAUGUUGGGUUAAGUCCCGCAACGAGCGCAACCCUUGUUCAUUAGUUGCCAUCAUUUGGUUGGGCACUCUAAUGAGACUGCCGGUGACAAACCGGAGGAAGGUGGGGAUGACGUCAAGUCCUCAUGGCCCUUAUGGGUAGGGCUUCACACGUCAUACAAUGGUCGGGUACAGAGGGUUGCCAACCCGCGAGGGGGAGGCUAAUCCCACAAAGCCGAUCGUAGUCCGGAUCGCAGUCUGCAACUCGACUGCGUGAAGUCGGAAUCGCUAGUAAUCGCGGAUCAGCAUGUCGCGGUGAAUACGUUCCCGGGUCUU